rnacentral:tRNA from 1 species
UGCGCCCAUAGCUCAAUUGGAUAGAGCAUGUGACUACGGAUCACAAGGUUGGGGGUUCGAGUCCCUCUGGGCGCGCUAA